GUAUUGAAAAUAUUUUUAUGAAACUUGAUAUAGGGUAAGAUGGCAGUCUGAAGAUAAUUAAUUGCAUGUCUUUUUCUAUUUUUUCCUAUGUUGAAAAAUUUGGUUGCUAUGGCAACAAAUAGUCUGAAAAUAUAACUAAUUUAACACAUAAAUUGGAUCCAGUGAUAAUGCCAAAAGUACUGAAAGUAUUUUUAUGAACAUUGAAUUAUGGGUAGAUGGUAGUAUGGAAAUUAUGCACGUCUUCUGUUCUUCCUAUGUUGAAAAAUUUGGUUACUAUGGCAACAAAUAGGCUUAAAAUAUGGCAAAUUUAACAAAAAUUGUGAUUACUCAAAAAGUGCUGAUUGAUUGAUUGAUUGAUUUUCUUUAGACUGUGUGAUCAAGGAUAACCUACGAAAGUGUAAGCACUUAUUUCCAGUAGGGUCCUUACCUCACCAGACUAUAGAGACAGCUAUGAGAUACAAGGUCUAUAAUCUUAGCCAGAAAACUGCAUGUGAGCAAGGGGAAUGUGGUAAGAGAAGACUGGUGAUAAUAAACAGAGGCCAUGCAAAAAAAGAAAAUAUUCUGCUGUGAAAAUGACUCAGACUGGCAGAAACAUAAUUGGAUUAAACAUGGGCAUAUUCUAAUGAAACUUCGAUUUGGUUGCUAAAAAUUGUUAAUUAACAGUACCUGUAUAGCUGUAGAGAGAGAUGUUGAGAGUGAUUGUUUAAUUCACACAGGUGCAAUUUUAGUGUAAAACAGUACAAGCAAAUUACUGUUGAAUGAACAAACAAAAUUGUGCUAUAUAACAUACGGAAGCAGCUUGUUCUAUAUAUUCUAUUUUUAUAAACCAUACACAACAACAGUGAUAAGUGGGAUAUACUAGAGUCAGAUUGUCUGUCUGUCUGCCUGUCUACCUAUUGGAGCUAUUGAAGUGAAACUAAAUAGACAGAUGUAUCUCAUUGCAGUGAAAUGUAGUUCCAAGGCAUUUAAUCAAUUGUUUUUUCAUAUGAUAGAUCAGACAAAAUGUUUGUUCUUUAGUGAUUGAUUUGUGGCUCAAAUUUAGCAAUUGAAAUUAAAUUUGCCUCAUAAUGGUCUUGAACUUGAAUGUCAAAUUAGUGUAUUUUCACCAUUUUUAGCUUGGCAUUGUUUUCGAAGAAAAAAAUAGAGGUAUUGUUACAGUCAAUGGCAGCUUUUCCAUUGCCGUCCGCAAACUUGAACUUUGAUCAUAACUUUAUGAGCUAUUGGUGUAUUGUCUUCUUACUUGGCCAUAACAACUUUUGGACAAGACCGUCAAGCAGACUAGAUUAAACCUGACCUACAUUCAUAAAUGACCUUGAUCUUCAAGGUCAAAUGUCGAAAUUUUGCUUGAUUUUGCUAAAAGGGGCUAUAACUGUGUUAUUUUUGAAUGGAUUUUCUUCAACUUGAACACAACAAUCUUUGAAAAGCAUUGAAAAC